rnacentral:misc_RNA from 1 species
GAGAGGAUUUGUUGGUUAUUGGGUUGCCAUGAAUAGUAACUUGGGAUGCUAUAGGUAUAAGAAAUGCAUAUAAGGGGAAGAGUGUGAUCGCUCUAGGCAUACCUGUCCUCUAAACAAAAUUAAAAACUCAUAUUUCCAUUAUCAAAAUCUAGACAAAAAUAAAUUGGUAAUCCUAAAUAAGAAAAAUCAUAAUGAAAAUCUAUGAAAUUUUGCUACUAAAAAUACUCUGCAUUUCCCAAACAGAAGUAAAAUAACACUCAUCGAUAAAAGAUUAGAAGAAAAAUAUGUAUCAUCAAAAUUAAGAUUGAAAAAACAAACUAAUUCUAAAUUUCUCCAUCGAAAACAGACAAUUAAUGAAUUCAAAUUCUUUAGUGUACCCACCCAAAAAAAAAAUUAGAAUAGACCUCUAAACAAAUUCAGGAGAGGCUACAUUUAAAAAAAAAAGGAAGAAAGG